GACGAACGCUGGCGGCGUGCUUAACACAUGCAAGUCGAACGGAAAGGCCCUGCUUUUGUGGGGUGCUCGAGUGGCGAACGGGUGAGUAACACGUGAGUAACCUGCCCUUGACUUUGGGAUAACUUCAGGAAACUGGGGCUAAUACCGGAUAGGAGCUCCUGCUGCAUGGUGGGGGUUGGAAAGUUUCGGCGGUUGGGGAUGGACUCGCGGCUUAUCAGCUUGUUGGUGGGGUAGUGGCUUACCAAGGCUUUGACGGGUAGCCGGCCUGAGAGGGUGACCGGCCACAUUGGGACUGAGAUACGGCCCAGACUCCUACGUGAGGCAGCAGUGGGGAAUAUUGCACAAUGGGCGGAAGCCUGAGGCAGCAACGCCGCGUGCGGGAUGACGGCCUUCGGGUUGUAAACCGCUUUCGCCUGUGACGAAGCGUGAGUGACGGUAAUGGGUAAAGAAGCACCGGCUAACUACGUG
rnacentral:rRNA from 1 species